CGCGGCCUAUCAGCUUGUUGGUGGGGUAGUGGCUUACCAAGGCUUUGACGGGUAGCCGGCCUGAGAGGGUGACCGGCCACAUUGGGACUGAGAUACGGCCCAGACUCCUACGGGAGGCAGCAGUGGGGAAUAUUGCACAAUGGGCGGAAGCCUGAUGCAGCAACGCCGCGUGCGGGAUGACGGCCUUCGGGUUGUAAACCGCUUUCGCCUGUGACGAAGCGUGAGUGACGGUAAUGGGUAAAGAAGCACCGGCUAACUACGUGCCAGCAGCCGCGGUGAUACGUAGGGUGCGAGCGUUGUCCGGAUUUAUUGGGCGUAAAGGGCUCGUAGGUGGUUGACCGCGCCGGAAGUGUAAUCUUGGGGCUUAACCCUGAGCGUGCUUUCGAUACGGGUUGACUUGAGGAAGGUAGGGGAGAAUGGAAUUCCUGGUGGAGCGGUGGAAUGCGCAGAUAUCAGGAGGAACACCAGUGGCGAAGGCGGUUCUCUGGGCCUUUCCUGACGCUGAGGAGCGAAAGCGUGGGGAGCGAACAGGCUUAGAUACCCUGGUAGUCCACGCUGUAAACGGUGGGUACUAGGUGUGGGGUCCAUUCCACGGGUUCCGUGCCGUAGCUAACGCUUUAAGUACCCCGCCUGGGGAGUACGG
rnacentral:rRNA from 1 species